UGUGGAAGGGAUAAGUGCUGAAAGCAUCUAAGCAUGAAGCCCCCCUCAAGAUGAGAUUUCCCUUGGAGUUAAUCCAGUAAGACCCCUUAAAGAUGAUGAGGUUGAUAGGUCUCGGGUGGAAGCACGGCGACGUGUGGAGCUGAGAGAUACUAAUCGGUCGAGGACUUAUCCUAAA
rnacentral:rRNA from 1 species